rnacentral:rRNA from 1 species
CGGUAAUACGGAGGGUGCGAGCGUUGUCCGGAAUCACUGGGCGUGGGAGGCGCGUAGGCGGUCUGCUAAGCGUGUGGUGAAAGCUCGGGGCUCAACCCCGAGUCGGCCAUGCGAACUGGUGGACUAGAGCACUGUAGAGGCAGGUGGAAUUCCGGGUGUAGCGGUGGAAUGCGUAGAGAUCCGGAAGAACACCGGUGGCGAAGGCGGCCUGCUGGUCAGUAGCUGACGCUGAGGCGCGAUAGCGUGGGGAGCAAACAGGAUUAGAUACCCUGGUAGUCCACGCCGAUGACGAUGGGUACUAGGUGCUUGGGGAAGCGACCCCCCGAGUGCCGGCGCUAACGCAUUAAGUACCCCGCCUGGGGAGUACGACCGCAAGGUUGAA